CCUUGAGCUUUACUAUCUACCGUUGAAUCGGAAAUGCUAGGUGGCUUCUCAAUGGUCUUGGAGAUCACUAACUUGGAUAUUAAACUCAGAGGCCCACUGAUUUUGGUCCAAACAAGGCAACUGGAAGUGUUGCAAAAAAAUCUUGCUUCUGUCAAACCAUCUAGGGUUCUUGAUCCAUCAUAUUGGAAACUCACACCAAAUGCAAUCUUCUCUUGGUGUUUCGAAAAGCACAGAUUCUGGAGAAAGUAAAG
rnacentral:lncRNA from 1 species